GCGCGGUGUCACACCGGGAGCCGCAGGUGUGCGGUGUGCCAGGCCGCGGUGUCACACCAGGAGCUGCGGGUGUGCCACACCAGGGUGUCACACCGGGAGCCGCGGGUGUGCCCGGUCAUGGUGUCACACCGGGAGCCGCAGGUGUGCCACACCGGGGUGUCACACUGGGAGCCGCGGGUGUGCCCGGGCGCGGUGUCACACGAGGACCUGGCUUUGCAUGAGGGCCUUGCACAAGGAUCCAACCAGCGUCACCCGAGGAUCCAUCGGGUGCUUGAGGAUCCAUCGGGUGCUUGAGGAUCCAUCGGAUGCUCGAGGAUCCAUUGGGUACUCGAGGAUCUGUCGGGUGCUCAAGGAUCUGUUGGGUGCUCAAGGAUCCAUCCAGAGCCCGAGGAUCCAUCUGGCGCCACAUGUGGGGACCUGACCUGAGGAUCCAUCCGGCACCCAAGGGUCCAUCAGAUCCAUCUGACACCACACGUGGGGAUCUGACCCGAGGAUCCGUCCAGCACCCAAGGGUCCAUCAGAUCCAUCUGGCACCACACAUGGGGACCCAACCCGAGGAUCCAUCCAGCACCCAAGGUUCCAUCAGAUCCAUCUGGCACCACACAUGGGGACCCAACCCGAGCAUCCAUCCAGCACCCGAGGGUCCAUCAGAUCCAUCUGGCACCACAUGUGGGGACCCAACCCGAGGAUCCGACCGGCGCCACACUUGGGGACCUCUUUUGGGGACCCCCCUCUCACCAGGACCUCGCACCAAGACUUUGCACCCGGACCUCGCAAGGGGCGCCCCCCUCGUGCCCCCACCCCACCCCGGGGCUGUUUUGGGGGGAUCCCUCAGCCACGUUCCGGGGGCCCCCCCAAAAGCCAUCCCGGGGGGGCCCCCGCGGCCUCGGCAGCACCGAGCCGGGGGGGGCNGCGGGUGUGCCUGGGCGCGGUGUCACACCGGGAGCCGCAGGUGUGCGGUGUGCCAGGCCGCGGUGUCACACCAGGAGCUGCGGGUGUGCCACACCGGGGUGUCACACCGGGAGCCGCGGGUGUGCCCGGUCAUGGUGUCACACCGGGAGCCGCGGGUGUGCCCGGGCGCGGUGUCACACGAGGACCUGGUUUUGCAUGAGGGCCUUGCACAAGGAUCCAACCAGCGUCACCCGAGGAUCCAUCGGGUGCUUGAGGAUCCAUCGGAUGCUCGAGGAUCCAUUGGGUGCUCGAGGAUCUGUCGGGUGCUCGAGGAUCUGUUGGGUGCUCAAGGAUCCAUCCAGAGCCCGAGGAUCCAUCCGGUGCCCGAGGAUCUGUCAGGUGCUCAAGGAUCCAUCUGGUGCCUGUGGAUCCAUCGGGUGCUCGAGGAUCCAUCCUGUGCCCGAAGUUCCAUCUGGCGCCACACGUGGGGACCCAACCCGAGGAUCCGACCGGCACCCAAGGGUCCAUCGGAUCCAUCUGGCGCCACACGUGGGGACCUCACCUGAGGAUCCAUCCAGGGCCACACAUGGGGACCCGAACCGAGGAUCCGACCGGCGCCACACGUGAGGACCUGACUGGAGAUCCGACCGGAACCCAAGGAUCCAUCGGAUCCACCCAGGGCCACACGUGGGGAUCUGACUCGAGGAUCCAUCCGGCGCCACACGUGGGGACCUCACCUGAGGAUCCAUCCAGGGCCACACAUGGGGAUCUGAACCGAGGAUCCGACCGGCGCCACACGUGAGGACCUGACCCGAGAUCCGACUGGAACCCAAGGAUCCAUCCAAUCCAUCCAGGGCCACAUGUGGGGCCCUGACUCGUGGAUCCGACUGACGCCACACGUGGGGACCUGACCCGAGAUCCGACUGGAACCCAAGGAUCCAUCAGAUCGAUCUGGCGCCACACGUGAGGACCUGACCCGAGGAUCCAUCUGGCACCCGAGGAUCCAUCGGAUCCAUCUGGCACCACAUGUGGGGACCCGACCCAAGGAUUCGGCCGGUGCCACACGUGAGGACCUGACCUGAGAUCCGACCGGAACCCAAGGGUCCAUCUGAUCCAUCCAGGGCCACAUGUGGGGCCCUGACUCGCGGAUCCGACCGACGCCACACGUGAGGACCUGACCCGAGAUCCGACCGGAACCCAAGGGUCCAUCGGAUCCACCCAGGGCCACACGUGGGGAUCUGAACCGAGGAUCCGACCGGCGCCACAUGUGGGGACCUGACCCGAGAUCCGACUGGAACCCAAGGGUCCAUCAGAUCCAUCUGGCGCCACAUGUGGGGACCCAACCCGAGGAUCCGACCGGCGCCACACGUGGGGACCUGACCCGAGGAUCCAUCCGGCACCCAAGGGUCCAUCAGAUCCAUCUGACACCACACGUGGGGAUCUGACCCGAGGAUCCAUCCGGCACCCAAGGGUCCAUCAGAUCCAUCUGACACCACAUGUGGGGAUCUGACCCAAGGAUCUGUCCAGCACCCAAGGGUCCAUCAGAUCCAUCUGGCACCACAUGUG
rnacentral:lncRNA from 1 species